rnacentral:rRNA from 1 species
UACGUAGGGUGCGAGCGUUGUCCGGAAUUAUUGGGCGUAAAGGGCUCGUAGGCGGUCUGUCGCGUCUGCUGUGAAAACUCAGGGCUUAACCCUGAGCUUGCAGUGGGUACGGGCAGACUAGAGUGCGGUAGGGGGAGAUUGGAAUUCCUGGUGUAGCGGUGGAAUGCGCAGAUAUCAGGAGGAACACCGAUGGCGAAGGCAGAUCUCUGGGCCGUAACUGACGCUGAGGAGCGAAAGCAUGGGGAGCGAACAGG